AUCAGGUGUUUUGGUUCCUAUGGAAACUAAAAGAUGGCAUCUCAACAUAUGUUCUCGAGUUGUUUUUCAGAAACCCACACCAGAUAGAAAAUGCAGAUAAGGGAGAACUGAGGAAUUGAACUCUGACCACCGCUCUUUGUUCUAAAUUUCCCCCUGAGGGUCCUGGAGAGAGUCGAACUUGUAUUAAUAUCCCUUUCCCCAGAUCCAAGAAUCUCAGAAUCUACUAAUGUCCCUACUCGCCCUUCAGGAUAUCUGCCUUUUUGGACCAGGCCAAUAUAUAACCUCAAUGUAUUGAUUUACAAUUUUGCCUGCUUGAAAUGUACCCCUGCCUUUAGAAACCAUGACUUGUAAGACAUUGGGGAGUUUGGGUUGUUAGCAUUAGCUGCCCAUUCUCCUUGUAUGGUGCCAUGCAAAAAACUGCCUCUUUCUCCCACUGCAACUCUCAGCUUCAGUGUCUGGUUUUACUGUGCCAGGCGAGCAGACCCCAGUUUGGUUUGGUAACAAAAUUAUUGGCUAUUGGUGAUUGAACUCAAUCGUAAGCCCCUUCCUUCUCCCUGGAGGUGGAGGUGGGGAUGGUGGAGCUAAAAGUUAUAACACUAUAAUCACGUGGUUGGUUUUCCUUGCUGUCAGCACCCAUCUUGAUGCUAUGCAGGGUAUUACUCUCACCAUGAGCCAUCCCAGCAUGCAGAAGACAGUAAACUCCAAAAGUUUCAGGAGCUCUGUGCUAGAACCAGGAUGGCAGGUGCAGGGUGAGCUGAAUUAAGUGUCCCAGGAGAGCCUGGGAGGUGGUAAGGCUUCAGAUGGGGGCUGGAGGAGGAGGGGACUGCUUCCUGGAAGGAGUGGCAUCUAAGUAGUGGUUAGGAAGAAAUGGAGGGAAGGCAUUUAUGAUGGUGGGACAAGGCCAGUGAUGGGGAGAGGAAGAGAAGCAGGUGUUCCUAGAACCUCAGAGAGCCCCAUUCUCUGUGGCUGGAGUUGGAGUUCUAGGAAGAGGGACAGGGGCUUGAUAUUAGGGUGCUCUGAAAGGGUCUGACUGUGGGAGCCUUGAAUAUUAGGAUUUUUCACAUCCAGAAGGGACCAUUCAAUUUGUGAAAGUUGUCAGAAUCAAAAUGGAGUCACUUGUGUUAAAACCCUGAGCUGGGGAGGCUGUGAAGGGAGGGUUCCCAUGCAUGUUCCUGAUAAUAACUGUCACAAAAGACUCUGUACAAACCACAACCUUGCACAAAGGCCAUGGAAACCUUACACACACACCCCGGCAAAUACUUAUGCCACGACAUCUGCCCAGCAACUGCCUAUCCAAGCUCUGACUGACCUUAUCUUUAUUCUUGAUCCUGGUAGCCAAGGAAAUUGUCUCAAAACAACUUCUGUGGCCCUCCUCAUCUCUCCUUUAAAAACCCUCGUCUUCUUUUACCUCCCUGAAUACACCCACAUGCAUUCCCAUUGCAAUGCCCAUUCCCAUUUUCUCAAAGAGAGUCCUCCUCUCCUUCUGCGGUUUGGCUUUGACAACGUGCUGGAUGAAGGGAGUGACUUGACUGGAACUGAGCUGGCGGCAGGCUGCUUGGGUGUGGCCAGGCUGGAAGAUCCUGGAGGCGCGCAGAGGCUGCGGCAAGUCCCCAAGGCACCUCGUGAAGGUGAGGCAGAAGACCACCACCGGCUGCUGACUCGGGAAGGAGGAAAGCACAACCCUGUAAAGGCGGAGGCUGCAAACCCGUUCAUUGAACACAAGAUGGCUCAGGCUUAACCCACUGGUGACUUUGAGCCUCCUUUACCCCCAUAGCCAUAAACUCUCCAUAGGGUGCACUCCCGCCAUGCACCGCGGCAGGGACCGCAUCCAAUCAGAGGGAAGGCGUUGCCCUGGUUGCGGAAGUGCCCGCCCUUUAUGGAAACCACGCCCCCCAUGGAACAUUCGGGCCUCCAUCCUGUGGGCCGCCCGUGAGGCCCGGGGGUCCCGGUCAGGCACCUCCGUCCCCAGCCUGCAGCGCCCCUGUGUGUUGAUACUUCGUUUCCCAGUAAACCCGGUGCUCUCAGUUUUCCGAUUCUGCCUUGAAGUCUUUUAUGCAGCGAAGUCCGGCACCUGGAUACUGCGCAGGGGUUAAGGGUCCUUCUUCGCCCAGCCCUUGGGGAGCAAACGGAACGGGAACGACUGAGGCGUGCAGGUCCCUGGCGUCCUCGGCUCACAGAGAGCUCCUCCGAGAAGCGAGAAGCGCUUCCUCCCGCGCCCAGGCCGGCGGGCCAGCUCGGAUUCUGCAGGUCAGGAAUUUGAAGAGGACACUGCAAGGACAGCUUGUCUUUGCUACAUGAUACCCUGGACCUCAACUGGGAAGACUCAAAUGACUGGGGUCUGGAACUUGGAGGCUGGCUCAGCUGGGAUUAUUGCCUGGAGUUACCUCAGAUGGAGGCAUCGAUUUCAUAUACCUGAGUUUCUAUGGAAUUCAAAAUUAGUGAAGAAAAUCCGAAUUGACAAAAACUACUGUAUGUUGCAGAUUGCGAAUUUACUCAUUAAGAUGUGCCUUUUGAAGUGCUUCAUGACGAAAUGGGACGAGCGUGGCAUUGUGCUUGGAGUCGUUAUCAUCAUCAUCAUCAUCAUCAUCAUUAUCAUCAUCAUCAUCACCACCAUAUCAUAAUCAAUGCUGCUACCAGCAAGGAAACUCUCCAAGGCUGUGAGGUCAUGUCAAGUUGGCUUCUGCUGGUCACAUGUAAGACAACCUGACCAUCAAUAAGACGAAGAACUGCGCCAUGUCGAAUACAGUCAAUGUGUCUAAAUAAGGAGUUCAUAAUGAUAAUGAUAAUAAUAGUAAUAAACCUCAUUCAUAACCUUUA